CCAGUUAUUUUGUUGCUUUUCCUUUCCCCUUGUCUCUACUAGACCCUUCCACUUGAGUCUGCUCAACUGAAAACAUUUAUAACAAAACAAGUAUGAGCAUUCAAUUGCUCAGCAAGUAAUAACAUUCUUUAAUAGCUCAACAAGCAAUAAAUGUUUUCUUUGAAGCAUGCUUUGACAGUGAAUCAAAACUGUAAAGCAAUAAAUCUUGAAUCAUUCACAUUUCAGGAACAUCAUAACAAUAUUGAAUAACUGAGAGGUCAUAAAACCAUGAACAUAUUUUUCUUUUCUUGAAAAGAUUCAAUAAGAAAUUUUAUAAAUGAACCGUCUUAUCUUAUGAGCACGGAGGAUGAUCAGCCCUUUACGCCCUGUAUUGAUCAAUACUAUCUUAUCCAGAACAAUUUUUAUGUUCAACGUCACCACUCCUAGAGUGCAAUAAAAAUAUCCCAUUUCAGGGUAUGUUCAUUCUCAGUUUAGAAUCCAAACUACAACAAUAUAGCUGGAUAGCUUAAAUCAUGGCACAAUAAUAUUUCAAGACUUAUUAUAAAGAAAUUGAAAUAUAUUACAUCUGUGUCUGGCCAGAAGGAAUGGCUCAGACUUCUUCGCGAUCUGCUAUGUAUAUUGAAUUUCAUUUGAUAUACAUGAAAAUACAUCAUCCAAUCUUUUGAAGCUGAUUGUAAUAAAAAGGUUAUUCAACCUUAUAUUAUUCAUAAAUAAUGAAAGACAGUUCAGAAUUUAGAGAACCUGUCCACAUAUGAAUAAUCUCAGAAUACUUGCUCAAUAAAGAGUAAGAUUUAGAUACUAGCCUUAUUUGUAGACUAUUGGUACAAUUUCAGUUUAACUUGUGUGUUCUCACAGAUUCUAUACAAUUAUUUGCAUUCACAAGCAUAUUAGCCAAAUAGCCAAGUCAUAUAGCUUGCAUAUUAACAUAUCACAUAGUCACAGUGAUCAUGUUUUUAGUUUAUAUUUCUAUAUUUGAGAUAUUUCUAUACAUUUUUCAAAUACCUCUUCUUACAAUAGCCAUUUCUUUCUUUUAUAGGGUCCGACAUAAUCUCUGUUCAUGAACUUUUCAUGAUUUUAGUUCAUAUUCCUUUUUCUUCUUUCUUGCCAUAAGUAUACUUUGCAAUCUUCUUUAUAAUUUAGGUAUUCAAGGUGAAUACGUAAGGUAUUUCAUUAAUUAAGUAUGAUUGUUUAUCAUAAGGGUAGAACUUUAGUUUCCAAUUUGUUUUGAUUCUCUCUAUCUUUACUUUUCUUGUCUUAUAGAUUCAUUUCAAGACACUAUUACUUCAACCAUUCUUGAUUCUCUUAGUGAUACCCAAGGCAACCCUUUGAUGUUUUAUUAACCCAAUUUGGUUUAAUAAUCCCAACAUAAGAUACCCAUUCAUGCUAGCUUUAUUUCAGAGUUUGCUAACUCAUUUAUACAAUUUUUGAGUAUCUUGGAGAUUCAUUCAUAUCAACUAGUGUGUUGAGGCUAACAUAUUUUAAGAUUAUACCCAAAACAGUCCCUUUCUAUAUUCUUUUAUGUUUUGGGAUAUUCACAACUUGGUUGAGCAAUUUAUAUCCUCUAUAACAUUUUGUAGUUUUAUUCUUGUAUACAAAAGUGUUAAAUACUCUUGUUUUUCUGUUAUAGCCAAAACAGUCUCCUUAUUGACCAAGUGUGUCUAGCUACCUUCUCUGUUGCAUUAACAGUUCCCUAGCCUUGCCUAUUUUGGCUUAACAGCCCUCCAUAACUGACCAUGCCCCAGACUCAGCUUAUCUGCCCCAACAGUCCCUUAAUAGGCUUUAAUGGUUCACUUAGUUUAAUAGUUCCAUGUUUACUAUUUUUUUAAAGGUAAGCUAUUAGACUAAAUUUGGAAACCAAAGAAGCUCUUUGGUGUUGCUAUAGUAGCUUCUUGCUGCUAUUCGCAGCCAAUUGCUGCUGCCAAUUUUUUAUCUUUUACUUUACCCAUCUAGAUGAAUUGUAGUUUUGUUAUAAAUUCCACACACUUGCUUAUUUAGGAGUUAGAAUUUGAGCUUGAUGGGUAAGCUUUUAAACUACACCAAAAAGCCAAAAAUGGCUCGUCAAAGAACUCCUAACUGCAGCUAUCUGCUGCUGGUACCAACUGCUGCCACUUCUUUUCUUUGAUCUAUGUUUUGGUACACUUUUAUUUCCACAUUCUUUGUUUGUUUGAGUUGAAUUUUGAAGCUACCAUAGAUGAGACAUUCACUUAAUAUUGAGAUAUAUUAGUUGGGCAAGUUUGGUUAGUUCAAAUGGGCUGACCGAGAGCCAAGGAAGCCCCAGUUAUUGACUAACACAGUGACUGCUGCUGCCGUGGGCAGCAGCCUUGCUCCAAACUAGACACUUAGCAAUCUAAUAACUUUUGAUUCAUUCAUCGGACAAUAGCAGAUUUUAAAGUAUAUUAUACAUUGCAUACAAGGCUGCUAUUAUAGAGUAUAAACUCCUCAUUUUGGAAUAAUUAAGUUGCUCAAAACAGUGGUCAAGAAUAGCUUGACACACUAGUUUUCAACUUAUAUUGGAUUUUGUUUUCAUUUCGUACACCAAAAAUGUUUAUCUAUCAUCAUAUAUGGUUUACAUACUUAGCUCAAGCUUUACUUUCUUCUCAUAUUCAGAUUUUAGCCAAAACAGUUCUUUUAGAACUUUUAUCAAACAGUUGGUAGGCACAGUUUUAGGCUAUCAGUUUCAUAACCAUUAGUUUAUAUCAUGAACCCAUUAAAUCCUCCUUAUUACUCCUCAGCCCAACCUAUCUCCUUGUGCCUAUUUUCAAUUCAUAGCAAUCAAAUAGCUUAUUAACAAGAAUCAUGUAUAGCUAGUAGCCUUAAAGACCACUGUUUACAUAAUCAAAAUUCAUGAAUUUAAUAACCUUCUACCUAUCAUGCAACAACCAGCUCUAUACAAGCAUACAUCUUUAAAACAGAAGCAUGAAAGAUACCUUUCCUUUAUAUAUUAAUAAAUUCUUGUUAUCCCUUGAUCAAAAUCCCCGCUGCCCCCUUAAAUCUUGAAGCUUCAAAUUAUUUUCUUGUGCCAGCCGUAUAUAGGUACUAGAGAUUGAUAUGGAGUAACUCAAUUGUGAUUGAAUAGAGAGAAAUCCGGUAAUUGCCUUAGCAAGGAGCUAAAUUGGUUGAGAGAGAAGGGAAAACAGGGAAUUAUUGUUGGGAGUCUUUGAUUUAUAGGAUGCUAUUCCUUACCUCCCGCAUUAUAGCCCAUCUGAGUAAUAUACCUAUAUUAAUCACAUAUAGGCAGCUCCUGCUAAGGAAAUUCUUGUCACUCAAUUGGUUCUUAACUUAGGUACAGCUCCUGCUUCUUUUUUGUAACUGAUAUGAUUAUUAACUCAAAGCCGUGUUUGGUUUAUUCAUUUGAUAUAACCCAUUAUUUCCCCUCUGCACUUAUCACAUUAUAAAUACAGUAUGUUGGGAACUUGUGACUUAUAAUAUAGAAGCCACUGGAAAAGGGCUAGUGCGGAGCAUAGCGAAAUGGAGCGUAGCGACGCACUAGCCUAUUAGGGUUGCACCGAAGGUCGCGGGGGGGUGUGGUGGGGCGAAGCCCCCCGCGGUAUGGUACAGAGUUACUGCCAUAGUGGCGCGGGGCGCGCUGGUUCGGUGACACAGUUUUGUGGGUUGUUAAUUGGAAAGGGUAUUAUGGGUAAUUGACCAUAAUAUGAAGUAGGGUUGGAAUAUGAUUAAUAGGUAUAUAUACUAUCUAUUGUAAAGCCCUAUGUAACCAAAGAAUCAUCAAUAAACAAUAAGCCGCCUGUGGAGUACCCAAAUUGGGGAACCACGUAAAUCUCUUGUGUUCUUCUUAAUUCUCUAUCGUUUGUGUGCAUGUGUGUGAUCCUAUAUUCUAACACAGUAUUUACAAAAUACCAAAUGCACUCUAAAAAAAAAUUUGAACAAAAUAUUCAUAAACCAUUUCUGCUAAUACAGAAACUAUUUAUCAAAUAAAAAUAUUUAGUUGAUAAAUUAAUUUCAUUAUAUUAAAAUAAUUUAUUUACUAUAAAUUACUCUAGUAUCUACAAAAAUACUUCAAGUGUAUUUUUGUUUAAAUUAACUUUCCCACAUAUUCACGUAACAAAUAUAAUUAAAUAUAUUUAUCACGUCUUGUUCCCAUAUUUUAUUUAUCGCAAAUAAUUUUUUAUUUAUCGCAAAUAAUUUUAUAUAAGCGAUAAAAUAGAUCAAAUAUUUUAAUAAUUUGAUUUCUUUUUCAUCAUAAAUUGCUUCUCACAAUAUAUUAAGUAUAAUAAAUAUUAAUUAUUAUACAUGACAUAUCACCAUCACAUAUUAUGCUGCACAUGAUAAUAUAUGCAAUAUAAUAACACAUUUAAAAAAUAUAAAAAUUUAUUCCAGUAAAUUCUUAUUUUAUUUACUCAAGAAAAUGCGAUUCGCUACAUUUUCCUUCCCUCCCUUAUAAAGAGUAAAGUACAAUUACACAAACAAAUGCGGAUAAGUCUUUUUCAUUCUUUCUUCUAACUCCCACGUUGCUUCUUCAGCAUUGUGGUUUCUCCACAAUACCUUUACUGAAGGUAUUAUCUUAUUUCGCAAAAUUUGCUCUUUCCUAUCCAAUAUUUGCACAGGAACCUCUUCAUAUUCAUAGGUUAAAUCUUUCUCAAAUUGGAUUGGUUCAUAUUCUAUCACAUGUUUAUAGUGUGGUUUGUAUGGUCGUAAAACCGACACGUGAAACACAUUGCGGACAUGUUCUAGUUCCGGAGGUAAAGCUAUUUCAUAAGUUACCUCUCCCACUUUUCUCAAGAUCUCAAACGGUCCUAUAAAACGAGGACUCAACUUCCCUUUCUUUCAGAAACGUAUCUUUCCUUUCCAAGGAGAUACUUUCAGAAACACAUGCGAUCCGACUUCAAAAUCUCUCUUCUGUCUAUGCAAAUCUGCAUACUUUUUCUGACGAUCUUGAGCCGCUAUUAGUCGCAUUCGUAUCAACUUAACUACUUCCGCAGUUUGUUGUACUAAUUCAGGACCUAAUAGACGACGUUCACCCACCUCAUCCCAACACAGGGGUGUACUGCAUUUUCUUCCACACAACGCUUCGUAAGGCAACAUGCCUAUACUAGCAUGAUAGCUAUUGUUGUAUGCAAAUUCUGUCAAAGGUAAAUGAUCGUCCCAACUUCCCUUGAAAUCCAUAACACAAGCACGUAACAUAUCCUCCAGAGUCUGUAUUGUACUUUCACUUUGUCCAUCUGUCUGUGGAUGAUAGGCUGUACUUAAUCUUAACUGUGUCCCCAAAUGUUAUUGUAAGCUUCUCCAAAAAUUUGAAGUAAAUCUUGAAUCUCUGUCUGAUAUAAUGGAUACUGGAACUCCAUGACGUGAAACAAUCUCCCUGAUAUAGAGAUUAGCUAACUGAUCUAGAUUAUAUCUGAUCUUGAUUGGCAAAAAAUAUGCCAAUUUUGUUAACCAAUCAACUAUAACCCAAAUCGCAUCAAAUCCCUUUUGCGUCCUCAGGAGUCCUACCACAAAAUCCAUCGUGAUAUGCUCCCAUUUCCAUUCAGGAAUUUCCAAUGGCUGUAGUAGACCACUAGGUUUCUGAUGUUCAGCUUUUAUUCGUUAACAAGUUAAACAUCUGCUAACAUAUUCUACAACCUCUCUUUUCAUACUUGGCCACCAGAAAUGUCGUCAAUUGUCUUGAUACAUUUUGGUACUGCCAGGAUGAAUUGUAUAUCUUGAACAAUGAGCUUCUUGUAGUAUUUCUUCUUUCAGUUCCAGUUCUGUUGGAACCCAAAUUCUUCCUUCAAAUCUAAUAAUUCCAUCAUUAUCAAUCUUAAACUUUCCCUCUUUUCCUGCUGAGAUUUUCUCUUUUAAUUUCUCACAUUCCUCAUCUUUAAGUUGCGCUUCCUUGAUUCUAUCCAAGAGAGUUGAACAAGUCUCCAUUGAAUACAACUUUUCAUUUGAUUCUUGUGGAAGUUUAACUUCUAACUCCAUUCUUUCCAUUGCUGUCACUAACUCAUCUUGAGCUGUCAACAACAUCAAUUUCUCGCGACCUUUCCUGCUUAAAGCGUCAGCUACUACAUUUGCCUUGCAUGGAUGAUAAAGGAUUUCACAAUCAUAAUCCUUAAUCAAUUCUAGCCAUCUUCUUUGUCUCAUGUUUAACUCUUUCUGUGUGAAAAUAUAUUUCAAACUUUUAUGAUCUGUAUAUAUUUCACAUUUUUCACCAUACAAGUAGUGCUUUUAAAUUUUUAAAGCAAACACCACGGCUGCCAAUUUUAAAUCGUGAGUAGGAUAUCCUUUCUCAUAAUCUUUUAGCUGUCGUGAUGCGUAUGCUAUAACCUUUCCAUGUUGCAUAAGGACACAUCCCAAGCCUUUAUGUGAUGCGUCACUAUAUACCACAAAAUUCCCUGUUUCAUCGGGUAAGGACAACACUGGAGCAUUACUCAAUCUUUUCUCGAGUUCUUGAAACUCUCUUCACAUUUCUCAGUCCAUACAAAUUUAAAUGUCUUCCUUGUCAGGUUAGUUAACAGGGUAGCUAUCUUUGAAAUUUUUUGAAUGAAUCUUCGAUAGUAGCCCGCUAACCCUAAGAAACUACGCACUUCAUUAGGCGUCUUCGGCUGCUCCCAUUUCAUGAUUACUUCUACUUUCGCUGGAUCCACGAAUAAUCCAUUUUUGUCAAUCACGUGACCCAAAAAUUGAACUCUUUCUGACCAGAAUUCACAUUUACUGAAUUUCGCAUAUAACUUUUCUUUUCUUAGUGUCUCCAACACUAUUCUCAAAUGGUCAGCAUGAUCAUUCUGUGUCUUGGAAUAGAUUAGAAUAUCAUCUAUGAAUACCACCACAAACUUAUCCAAGUAUGGUUUGAAUAUUCUGUUCAUCGUUUCCAUGAAUGCAGCUGGUGCAUUUGUUAAUCCAAAAGACAUUACCAGAAACUCGUAGUGACCAUAACUAGUCUGGAAUGUUGUCUUUGGAACAUCUUCAUCUCUUACCUUCAACUGAUGGUAUCAGUUCUCAGGUCUAUUUUUGAAAAAUAUCUCGCUUCCUUCAGUUGAUCAAAAAGAUCGUCUAUCCUGGGCAAAGGAUAUUGAUUCUUGAUCAUCACUUUGUUUAACUCUCUGUAGUCAAUACAAAGUCUUAACGAUCCAUCCUUCUUCUUUACAAACAACACAGGCGCUCCCCAAGGAGACGUACUGGGUUGAAUGUAUUUCUUAUCCAGCAAUUCUCGCAAUUGUAUCAUCAAUUCCUUCAUUUCUACAGGAGCCAUUCUGUAAGGUGCUUUCGAAAUUGGUGCCGUACUCGGUACCAGAUCAAUAACGAAUUCUAUUUCCCUGUCUGGCGGAUGGCCCGGUAACUCGUCAGGGAAAACAUCUGCAAACUCAUUUACUACCACAAUCUCUUCUAUCUUUGCUCCUUUUUGCUAAGUAUCUACUAUAUAUGCAAGAUAACCCACACAACCUUUUUGUAACAACUUCUUUGCUUGCAUCAUCGUUAAGCAAUGUGACUGCUUUGGUGAUUUACUGCCGUAAAACACGAUCUUCGAUUGCUUUACAAGUUUAAAACUCACAGAUUUUCUUUGGCAAUCGAUGGUUGCUUCAUAUUUGAACAACCAAUCCAUUCCCAAAAUAAUGUCAAAUUCCCCGAGUUGUAUCGGAAUUAGAUCUACUGUUAACUCACGUUCUCCUAUCUUAACGCAACAAUCCCUAUAGACAUGCUCUACAAGAAUCACUUCCUUAUUAGCCACUUCUAUGCUCAUGGGUAUUUCUAAAUUCGAUAAAGGCAUCUCUAUGCGCUUAGCGAAUUCAUGUGCUACAAAAGAACAGGUUGCCCCAGAAUCAAAUAAUACGUAAGCAUUAAUAUUGUUGAAAGGGACAAUACCUGAAAUCACGUCCUUUGAUGUUACCGCAUCCUUUGCCGUCAUAUUGAAGGUCCUGGCAGUUGGCUUGUUUAGUGUAGUUGUGCCAAUUGUAAGUGCUUUACUGCCAUUAUUUCCUUUAUCACUGCUUCUUCCCUCUGCUCCUUUCUUGGGAUAAUUUCUGGCAAAGUGAUCCAUCGAUCCACAAACAAAACACCCAAAACCUUUCUUUGGAUUUGGACAGUUAGGAGAGAUGUAUCCCUCAUGUCCACACUUGUAACAAACCAUCUGUCCUUUUAGACAAAUGCCCGAAUGACUCUUUCCACAUUUCUUGCAAGCUUCAAAUUUCUUCUUUUGCUGUCCACUUUGAACAUCACUCAUAUUCCCAAACUUAUUCCAUUUCCUUUUCUUAUUCCAUUUGCUAGCACCUUCUGUUUUAAGUGACCCUUCUAACUUGCCUUUAUUCUUCUUAUCCUUAUUAUUCCUACCUCCUGUUUCGCUACCACUCUCUGCUAUUAUUGCUUUCUCAAGGAGAGCGGCAAAAGUUUCGAUCUGUAACACUGACAACUUGUUGUAGAUCCAAGGCUUCAAGCCUAACUCAAACCGUCUCGCUUUCCGUUCCUCGGUAUUCACUUGAUGUGGAGCGAAUCGUGCCAACUCAUUAAACUUGGCUACAUACUCAAAUACAGUCAUAUCACCUUGUUUAAGUUCAAGGAAUCGAACUUCCAUUCUGCUUUGCAUUCCAGGAGGAAAGUAAUUUUCAAAGAAAAGUUUCUUAAAUUUUGACCAUCUUAUCACACAUGUAUCGGCUCCCACCAAAAAUUUGCUUCCCCUUUAAGCAUAUAGGCAACAAAUGAAGUUUUCUGCUCCUUACUCACCCUGACUAUCUCAAAAGCUUUCUCCAUUUCUUUGAUCCAGGACUGGGCCUCAAUAGGCUCGGUAGUCCCUCUAAACUCUGGGGGUCCUACACUUUUAAAGUCUUUAAAGCUAGCCAUGUGAACAGCUGGUGGUGGUACAUUUGCAUUAGGUUGAGAAACAUUCCUAUUCUGGAAAGCUUCCAUCAUAAAAUUUGUGAAUUGUUGCAUAGGAUUCUCUUGGCCUUCAUUUCUAAUCCCUAUGAACCUCUUCAUUUCUAUUCUCAAUAUUAAGUUCUUCAUCGACAUUUCUCCGUACCCUAGGUACUCUUCCUCCCCUAAAUCUUGGUGGCAUUUUUAUCUGUUUAAUAACCUUUAUUAUUAUUAAACCAUUUAUUACUUGGACAUUCAUACAUUAAUGUAAAGCAAUAACAUCCAUAACAAACAUAUUUAAUAUUAUUAUAUAUUAAACAUGCUUUUGCAUAUGCCUCAACAUUUCUUUCUUUAAUAGCACCUCUGGCUAUUACAUACUAUAGCAUUUUCAUUUGCUAUUUACAUAACAUCUCUACCUUGUUAUUAAAAGAUUUACAUAUUCCAAUCCUUAACCAUUACUAGGUUAGGAUCCCAAAAGAUAUCCCCAUAAUACUAUCAAAAGUGGGGUACAUUUACAUUCUACAUAUACUAACACAUUUACAAUAUUUACAUCAUCAUAUGUACAUAUGUCGCAUAGAUCUCCUGACCGAUACUCAAGUAUCCCUAUCCCGUACUGCAACGGUGGAACGCACCCGCUCCUUAGUAAUCGCCAUGACCCUAGCCCGCGAGAUGGAGUACCUAGGCUGCCCUACCUCUUGGGGAUGAUUCCAGACAGCCGUCUGAACCCUCUCUAUGGAAUGAGUAUAAAGAAAACUCAUCAUUUCUUUUUGCCUCCUACAUUCACCCAAUCGACCUUCCAAGUGAUGAAUGUACCCAUUAGAUGUUGUCAUAAUGUUCUCCACCUCGUGGCGUUCUUCUUGGAGUUCCUGGACCUGACCCUCCAGGUAUUGGGUCCUAUUUUCAAAAACUUGAAGUCUGGCCAGCAAUUCAGUGUUCUGAUCCAUCAAAUAGUGGACCAUUGCCCCAAGUUGAACCAUCGCCUCCUCCAUAUCAUUCUGCUGAGGUCCAGCAUCAGGUACCUCAUUAAUCUCCUCUACUGGGUCCUCCUCCUCUACAACAGGCUCCGAGUCUAAAUCUAUAACCUGGGCUGGGGUGGAGCGAUCUGCUCCUCAUUAAUAAUUAAUUCUUCUUGAAUUCCAGCCAUCCUAUACACAACCAAAUAACUUGAUUAAUACAUAAUACAAAUUAUAUAACAAAUAACAGAUAACAAUUAUUUUUAAAUUAUUUUCAUUUAUAUUUUAUAAUGAACUUCCACAGUUCAUCUCUUUUCAAUUCUAUAUGAGUUAUUUAUUUCAUAUCUGUCUCACUAACUUAAAGUUAUAACCUAAGGUUCCCAUCCUAAGGCUUCUAACUUAAAGUUUUGAUACCAACCUAUGAUACCCCCAAAUUCGGGUACUUGAAACCCUUAUUCAGUGUUUCACGAUAUCAAACAUUCAACAUAGUAUAAACUUUAACUGAAUAAAGUUAUUACAUCAAAGUUCUUCUAAUCCUAGGUACGUAGACCUUUAAGUGUUCAUUACAUGAUAGUUUAAUAUUUACAGACAUGUAAACUAUUUAUUACAUCAAAUCCCAGUUAUUCUGUUGCUUUUCCUUUACCAUUGUCUCUACUAGACCCUUCCACUUGAGUCUGCUCAGCUGUAAACAUUUAUAACAAAACAAGUAUGAGGAUUCAAUUGCUCAACAAGUAAUAGCAUUCUUUAAUAGCUCAACAAGCAAUAAAUGUUUUCUUUGAAGCAUGCUUUGACAGUGAAUCAAAACUGUAAAGCAAUAAAUCUUGAAUCAUUCACAUUUCUGGAACAUCAUAACAAUAUUGAAUAACUGAGAGGUCAUAAAACCAUGAACAUAUUUUUCUUUUCUUGAAAAGAUUCAAUAAGAAAUUUUAUAAAUGAACCGUCUUAUCUUAUGAGCACGGAGGAUGAUCAGCCCUUUAUGCCCUGUAUUGAUCAAUACUAUCUUAUCCAGAACAAUUUUCAUGGUCAACGUCACCACUCCUAGAGUACAAUAAAAAUAUCCCAUUUCAGGGUAUGUUCAUUCUCAGUUUAGAAUCCAAACUACAACAAUAUAGCUGGAUAGCUUAAAUCAUGGCACAAUAAUAUUUCAACUUAUUAUAAAGAAAUUGAAAUAUUUUACAUUUGUGUCUAGCCAGAAGGAAUGGCUCAAACUUCUUUGCAAUCUGCUCAUAUAUAUUGAAUUUCAUUUGAUAUACAUGAAAAUACAUAACAAAAUCUUUUGAAGCUGAUUGGAAUAAAAAGGUUAUUCAACCUUAUAUUAUUCAUAAAUAAUGAAGGACAGUUCCGAAUUUAGAGAACAUGUCCACAUAUGAAUAAUCUCAGAAUACUUGCUCAAUAAAGAGUAAGAUUUAGAUACUUGCAUUGUUUGUAGACUAUUGGUACAAUUUCAGUUUAACUUGUGUGUUCUCACAAAUCCUACACAAUUAUUUGCAUUCACAAGCAUAUUAGCCAAAUAGCCAAGUCAUAUAGCUUGCAUAUUCGCAUAUCACAUAGUCACAGUGAUCAUGGUUUUAGUUUAUAUUUCUAUAUUUGAGAUAUUUCUAUACAUUUUUCAAAUACCUCAUCCAUGUUCUUACAAUAGCCAUUUCUUUCUUUUAUAGGGUCUGGCAUAAUCCCUUUUCAUGAUUUUAGUUCAUAUUCCUUUUUCUUCUUUCUUGCCAUAAGUAUACUUUGCAAUCUUCUUUAUAACUUAGGCAUUCAAGGCGUAAGGUAUUUCAUGAAUUAAGUAUGAUUGUUUAUCAUAAGGGUAGAACUUUAGUUUCCAAUUUGCUUUGAUUCUCUCUAUCUUUACUUUUAUUGUCUUAUAAAUUCAUUUCAAGACACUAUUGCUUUAACCAUUCUUGAUUCUCUUAGUGAUACCCAAGGCAGCCCUCUGAUGUUUUAUUAAACCCGAUUUGGUUUAAUAAUCCCAACAUAAGAUACCCAUUCAUGCUAGCUUUAUUUCAGAGUUUGCUAACUCAUUUAUACAACUUUUGAGUAUCUUGGAGAUUCAUUCAUAUCAACUAGUGUGCUAAGGCUAAGAUUAUAUCCAAAACAGUCCCUUUCUAUAUUCUUUUAUGUUUUGGGAUAUUCACAACUUGGUUGAGCAAUUUAUAGCUUCUAUAAAAUUUUGUAGCUUUAUUCUUGUAUACAAAAGUGUUAUAUACUCUUGUCUAGCUACCUUCUCUGUUGCAUUAACAGUUCCCUAGCCUUGCCUAUUUUGGCUUAACAGCCCUCCAUAACUGACCAUGCUGGCAGCCAAGGUUGACUUGGCCCCGUGAGGCUUGGCUAAGCUUGGCGUGGCCCUGCGGCCCCAAACUCAGCUUAUCUGCCCCAACAGUCCCUUAAUAGGCUUUAAUGGUUCACUUAGUUUAAUAGUUUCAUGUUUACUAUUUUUUUAAAGGUAAGCUAUUAGACUAAAUUUGGAAACCCUCUUUGGUGUUGCUAUAGUAGCUUCUUGCUGCUAUUCGCAGCCAAUUGCUGCUGCCAAUUUUUUAUCUUUUACUUUACCCAUCUAGAUGAAUUGUAGUUUUGUUAUAAAUUCCACACACUUGCUUAUUUAGGAGUUAGAAUUUGAGCUUGAUGGGUAAGCUUUUAAACUACACCAAAAAGCCAAAAAUGGCUCGUCAAAGCACUCCUAACUGCAGCUAUCUGCUGCUGGUACCAACUGCUGCCAUUUCUUUUCUUUGAUCUAUGUUUUGCUACACUUUUAUUUCCACAUUCUUUGUUUGUUUGAGUUGAAUUUUGAAGCUACCAUAGAGACAUUCACUUAAUAUUGAGAUAUAUUAGUUGGGCAAGUUUGGUUAGUUCAAAUGGGCUGACCGAGAGCCAAGGAAGCCCCAGUCAUUGAUUAACACGGUGACUGCUGCUGCCGUGGGCAGCAGCCUUGCUCCAAACUAGACACUUAGCAAUCUAAUAACUUUUGAUUCAUUCAGCGGACAAUAGCAGAUUUUAAAGUAUAUUAUACAUUGCAUACAAGGCUGCUAUUAUUAUAGAGUAUAAACUCCUCAUUUUGGAAUAAUUAAGUUGCUCAAAACAGUGGUCAAGAAUUGCUUGACACACUAGUUUUCAACUUUUCAUUUUGGCUUGAUAUUGGAUUUUGUUUUCAUUUAGUACACCAAAAAUGUUUAUCUAUCAUCAUAUAUGGUUUACAUACCUAGCUCAAGCUUUACUUUCUUUUCAUAUUCAGUUUUUAGCCAAAUCAGUUCUUUUAGAACUUUUAUCAAACAGUUGGUAGGCACAGUUUUAGGCUAUCAGUUUCAUAACCAUUAGUUUAUAUCAUGAACACAUUAAAUCCUCCUUAUUACUCCUCAGCCCAACCUAUCUCCUUGUGCCUAAUUUCAAUUCAUAGCAAUCAAAUAACUUAACAAGAAUCAUGUAUAACUAGUAGUCUUCUGUGUUACUCGGUGUCGGGUGCGGGUACGAAUCUAGGUGUCGGACACGUGAAGUCAAAAAAUAGAGGAUAUGCAGAUAUGGAUCCGAAUUUGGACACGGGUGCGGGGAUACGGUAUGUUAUGAUUUUUUAACAAUAAUGUUUCAAAUUAUAUCACCAAAGUUUUUUUGCUCUAGGGAUUAAAGUGUAAAAAUAUAAAGAAAUAGGGGCAGAAAUGAAAAAAACAAAACUAUAGGGACUGAUAUGUAAUUUUUUAGGGGCUAAUUUGAACUUUCAAAAAACCUGAGGGACUAAAUUAAAAUAUUUUAAAAACUAUGAGGUAUCUAAUUGUAAUUGUCCAUGGAUAUUUUAUAUAUCUUAGAUCAGAUCUGAUUUCUCUCUGUCUCUCUCUUCUUUAUAUGCUCUUCUUCUUCUCUGCUUUUCUUCCUCCUCACGGCUCUUCUUCCCAAAACAGCCGUAUCCGGAUUUAUGUGGCCGAAUCCCGUACGAAUCCUGCACCCGAACCCGUGUCAUGUCGUGUCGACACGGAUACUCCACCAAAAAGUGGCGAGUCCGAGUAACACAGGUAGUCUUAAAGACCACUGUUUACAUAAUCAAAGUUCAUGAAUUUAAUAACCUUCUACCUAUCAUGCAACAACCAGCUCUAUACAAGCGUACAUCUUUAAAACAGAAGCAUGCAAGAUACCUUUCCUUUAUAUAUUAAUAAAUUCUUGUUAUCCCUUGAUCAAAAUCCCAGCUGCCCCCUUAAAUCUUGAAGCUUCAAAUUAUUUUGUUGUGCCAGCCGUAUAUAGGUACUAGAGAUUGAUAUGGAGUAACUCAAUUGUGAUUGAAUAGAGAGAAAUCCGGUAAUUGCCUUAGCAAGGAGCGAAAUUGGUUGAGAGAAGGGAAAACAGGGGAAUUAUUGGGAGUCUUUGAUUUAUAGGAUGCUAUUCCUUACCUCCCGCAUUAUAGCCCAUCUGAGUAAUAUACCUAUAUUAAUCACAUAUAGGCAGCUCCUGCUAAGGAAAUCCUUGUCACUCAAUUAGUUCUUAACUUAGGUACAGCUCCUGCUUCUUUUUUGUAACUGAUAUGAUUAUUAACUCAAAGCCGUGUUUGGUUUAUUCAUUUGAUAUAACCCAUUAUUUCCCCUUUGCACUUAUCACAUUAUAAUACAUUAUUUAUAAAAUACCAAAUGCACUCCAAAAAAAAUUUGAACAGAAUAUUCAUAAACCAUUUCUGCUAAUACAGGAACUAUUUAUCAAAUAAAAAUAUUUUAGUUGAUAAAUUUAUUUCAUUAUAUUAAAAUAAUUUAUUUACUAUAAAUUACUCUAGUAUCUACAAAAAUACUUCAAGUGUAUUUUUGUUUAAAUUAACUUUCCCACAUAUUCACGUAACAAAUAUAAUUAGAUAUAUUUAUCACGUCUUGUUCCCAUAUUUUAUUUAUAGAAAAUAAUUUUAUAUAAGCGAUACAAUAGAUCAAAUAUUUUAAUAAUUUUAUUUCUUUUUCAUUGUAAAUUCCUUCUCACAAUAUAUGAAGUAUAAUAAAUAUUAAUUAUUAUACAUGACAUAUCACCAUAUCAUAUAUUAUACUGCACAUGAUAAUAUAUGCAAUAUAAUAACACAUAUUUAAAAAAAAUAAAAAAUUUAUUCCAGUUAAUUCUUAUUUUAUUUACUCAAGAAAAUGCGAUUCGCUACAAUUAAGAUCCGGGAUUGGGUCUUCAAAAUUCCUAUGAGCAUCUUCUUAUCCCUUAUCUACGCGUUCCGUACUUUUACUGUAAGUGUUGUAAUAGAAGCAUGAACAUUUGCAGCAAGUGUUGUGAUUGAAUCUUCAAUCCUUUUGAGACGCUCACCUUGUUGUAACAUAUAAUUAUCAAGCUUGGCAUUGAUUUCGCUAGCAUUUACCCUGGUUCUUUUAAAUAAAAAUAUAGACUUUUUUUUUUGCUUUAGGGACUUAAGUGCAAGAAGUAUAAAGAAAUAAUGUUGAACUAAAACUAAUGAAACUUCAGGGGCUGAAAUGGAAGAAAAUGAAACUACAAGGACUGAUAUAUAAAAUUUCAAGUGGUAUUUUGAAAUUUAAGAUAACUUGGGGGACUAAACUUGAAAACUAUAAAAACUAUGGGGUACUUAACUAUAAUUUUUCAUGAGAUAUAUUUGUUCCCUUCAUAUCUCUUUUAUUUUGCACGGAUCUGUUUCUCGACUUCACGUUUUAUUUUCUGCUUCACGGAAGGAGAGCAGUAAGCUUGAGGAGCUAACAACUUAAAAUUUUCUCGACAAAAAAUAAUAAGGGUGGUGGUGGCUGGACACUGCGGCGGUAACGAUGGUGCUCCUUUCUACUUCUCUUUUUUUUUUUCACGCCUAUGAUGGUUGUGAUUUGGGGCUGCGACUUGGGUUGUGUUUAGCUAGAUUUUUGGCUGAAAUUUGGGUUAUGGUCGAUAUAUGUAUAGUGUAUUGGGGUACAUUCUGGCUGUGUUUGGGCAAGGUUUGGUGCGACUGAUGUUUUCAUAGUGACGUUAAAGGUUGAGCAGCGAGUAUAAUUUUUUUUUCCAGGCAGCGGCUGGUUGUGGGGUUGUGACUGGGCAAUAGUUUGUAACUGCUAGAGGAGUAAUUAGUUUGAGUGUAGAGCCUAGGGUUUGUUCAUAUGGGGUAGUUUAUGGUUUAAGGCGAUGACACUGAUUUUGGGUCGGCUGAGGAUGGAUUUAAUUUUGGCAUACCAAAAUGAUGGGGACGGGGGUCUUGGGACAAAUGGUUAAUAUCACAUAGAUAAUUCUCACGCAAAACUCAUCACUUAAUCAUUCAAUGUCUCCAAAUAAUAAAGUACAUCACUAUUUAUAAUACUCCUAAACAACUUUCCUAACUUAAAUUGGACUCAAUAUGAUAACUACAAAUUAAAAAAAUUAAUUAAAAUACAACUUUUAAUUCAUAUAGGCUUCCAAAGCCUUUUAUAUUGUUCUAACCAACUUUCUCGGACUCAUCCUAUAUCAGUUAUCUUAGAAGAUAGGUUGGUUAACGAAUCUGUGAUCCAAGAUAUUCAAGCUCUGCUAUCCUCGUUCACUUGUCCGGUGAUAUUCAACAUACAUAGAUCAGCUAGUUUUGUAGCCAAUAAGUAGCUAAAUGGGCAGUCGAAUGUAACUCUUUCGACCGUUAGAGCCCCAAAAUUUUUAUGUCUCGUGAAUUUACUUUUCUUAGAAGCCACAAAUCUUGGAUUUAAAAUUAAAUAGAAGUACUACUCGUGGCGAAAUUUGGCCUCAUUGGUUCCUCUGAAUCUGAUACAUAAUAUUUCUAUUGCAUUUUGCCUACUGGUAUAAGCUCAAGGUAAGUUACAUAAUCACAUUUCAGUUUUAUUUCCUUCCAUCCAUAUCUACUCUUACCACAUUCAAAGAAAAUAUGUGAUAUUGAUUCCUGCCACCUUAGCUAACUAGCUAAUCCUAAUUGACUACUCUUUCUGGCCAGUAAAUGUGAUACUUUAUAUAAAUAAAUAAAAUAUUUACACAUUUCUAAGCGGGGCACUCCUUCCUUCCCUGAAAUAAUACAAGCAUCAGACAUCAAAUCACAAAAGACCAACAUAUCAGCAUUACUACAACAAACAACCAACCAUUCUGCAGAUCCUCAUAGUGCCAUAGAAUCCCCCAAAAAUAAGAAAUAGUUAUGCAUCAGCCACAUAAACUACCUAAUUUGACUAUAAUUAAGUUGUUAAAAAAAAUUUAUUCAUAAUAAGAUAAUUUUUUAAUUAAUAUCCGAGGGUAAAGAGAAACUAAAAAUUUAAAGUUGUAUUAGAAAAUAUAAUAUCAUUUGGAAUAUUAGCAUUUAUGAUCAAGAUCUUAAUCUAUUAAUGCAUUUUAAGUAUGUUUUACAUGGAAUAUUAUUGCCACCUUUUCUUUCUUUCUUUCAAUUUUCCCCCUUUCUUGGCUACAAUGUAACGGUUGAAGAAUGGGAAAAAAAUCCUACAGUAUUUCUUUGAGAUAUAUGAGGGCUGACACUUGGUUCAUGGUGCUUCAACUAACUAACAUGGCCCAUCUCAAUUAGAUGUUAAAGCUUUAUUCAACAAAACAACUCUUCUUCAAUAAUUGCACAAGGAUAAAACUAUAAUGGCUAAAUUAAGAUAAAAAUUUUAAACAUGGCUUAAAACCGUCAAAGACAUCACAAAGGCGAUAGAUUACUAAAGGACUCGGUGGGAAAUAAGAAACAUGGAACUAGUAACAAAAGUGUUUUUAAUUGAGAAAGAAGCACAAGAAAAGGAAAUGCAAGAACUUUGAAAAUACUCUUCAAUAUAUUCUUAGCUUGUUUGAUGACAAAUUUCGCCCAUAAGUUCUUCUGGAAUAGCGAGAACACUAAGGGUCUGUUUGGAUAAAUAGUUUUGGAAUUCAAUUAGAAUUGUAAAUCUAUGGAAUUGAAAUUAACUUAAAUGAAAUACUAAAACAUAGCAAUUCUACUGUUUGGUUAACAUAUUGAAUUCGUAUUAUAUUUGUUAGAAUUUAAAAUUUAUUGUCUGGGUAGUUACUAUUUUCAUAUUAUUUCUAAUACUAAGAAUUCAACAUAAUGAAAUUUAUCCAUAUAAAGUAAAACAACUAGUAACUAUCACCAAAUUAAAAUAGAUGUUAUCAUGCCUUUAGUUUUUAUUUUAUGGUAUUAGUUAAUUUAGUAAUAUAAUAAAAUAGUAAAAUACCAAAGAACGAAUUGAUAUCUAAAGUAUUACACCCACUAAUUCUAAUUCAAAAUUAACUAAUUCUAAUCCAAUUCUAUAACUUGGAAUAAAUGAAUCUAAACAAACCCUAAGAUAGUUAUAGAACAUGAUACUACAUAGCCCUUGGGCCAUAUAACCAAUGGCUAGGAUCACAUUUAAUGGAGGGCUAGUCAACUAUCUACAACCAUCUACUAAAAUAUCUAGAAUAUUAACAAACAUAACUAUCACACCAUAAAUCUAGAACACUCUAUUAGAAACAUUUAACAAAAUUUUAGAGAAUACCAACUACUUCAGUAGGCAAUGGUAUGGUGUGGUGUAUGCUCUUUGAAAAGUGCACAUGUUGUAAUACUACACUUGGAAACAACUCAAUUAGUUUGAACUAUAUCUCAAGUAAUUUAACCUAUCCUAUUAUAUACCACACAGUGACUUUUUCAUUCCCGUUUUCAUUUCACAAAAUGUAUCGAACACAUUUCAGGUAACAGUAAGUCUAAUAGCAACCAAUUAGUUGAACUAGAGNNNNNNNNNNNNNNNNNNNNNNNNNNNNNNNNNNNNNNNNNNNNNNNNNNNNNNNNNNNNNNNNNNNNNNNNNNNNNNNNNNNNNNNNNNNNNNNNNNNNCCAACUAAUGCAUAUCCUUCAGGUUUCAAAUAAACAGAACCACACAAACAAUUCUACAAACGCCCAUACACUAAAAUGAGAAUACACAGAGAUUAGAUUAUAUACUCAAGAAGCAUUUACUCAUAAAUCAUUAUUGUAUGUAUGUUUGUAUUAUAUCUACACAUAUAUACAUCCUUACAAACGAAAUUAUUAAAGAAGGAAAAGUAAUUUACCAUGGAGAGUUGGGCUUUUCCGGUUGAAGUGUAUCGGCGGUUGCAAAAUGCAGGUAGGCUAAAAGGAUUUAAUUUGGGAAUGGGUCCUAACUGAAAGGGAAAUAGAAAAAAUCUUAGACAAAGCUCAUAUUGGGGCUGAUUGCCAUUAUACCCUAAUUUCUUAUGUAGAAACCCAAAAGAAAGGAAGAGAUGGCAAUUGAGAGAGAGAGAGAUUGAGUGAAAGAGAUUAUCGUGCUCCAGACUGAGAAGAUGCAAAUUACAGUUAUGGUUUGGAGCAUCCAUGUAUAUACAAAUAGGGAGGAAGGAAGAACUUUGACGAUUAGGAACUUAUGGGAGUGGUUUUGAGUAAGUCGGUGGAUGGACCAAUAAAGUAUCGACGAUGCGAAACUGUGUCACUAUUUUAUUGGUCAAUUAACC
rnacentral:lncRNA from 1 species